GUCAGAGGCAAGUCCCGCCCCACCACCAGCCGUCCACUAUCCUGUUAUCCAGGCUCACCCGCGCCCCGGAAGCUGCAGCUUAGUCGGGGGUCAUGAUGGGCAGCAAGAUGGCGUCUGCUAGCAGAGUCGUUCAGGUAGUCAAGCCACAUACUCCAUUAAUAAGGUUCCCUGACAGAAGAGACAACCCUAAGCUCAAUGUAUCAGAAGCUUUGAGAUCAGCAGGAAUACCAUCUCACUCUUCUGCAAUUUCACAGCAUGCUAUGGGAAGUAAAUCACCAGAUUUGCUGAUGCAUCAGGGUCCUCCAGAUACUGUAGAAAUAAUAAAAUCAUUACCUCAGAAAUACAGAAGGAAACCUAUGUCUCAAGAAGAAAUCGAAUUUAUCCAAGUGUGGCCAUAAGACAGAGAUGAUCAGAUAGGCCGGGACUGUGAGAAACAGACCAUAGUUGGAGCCCUCAGUAAAUGUGCAUGAUGACAUAUAUGUGUAGAAGUAAAAACAGCGUGGAGUCCAGAAUAAUCACUGACAAGGCUGCUGUUUAUCAUCAGACAAAAGAAUUCUCUUUACAGUAAGGGACUUCCAAAUGACAAAUGAGCUAUUGUACAUUAAACAACUUUAAUAAAAUAUUCUGUAAAAAAUGAAGGAAAAUUUAGAUGGACACUUGUAUUUCCUAAUUUAUGUAUCUUGUUCAGCUUCUCCCAAGCUUAUCUAAAUUUAUAAGCUUUACAAUUAUUAAAAUAUACAUUUUUAAAUGCUAGCCUAAAAUUUACUCUUAACAAGUUUUACCACUGUUGAACUAUUAAAAGCACACAAUGUCUGGAAAAAUAUCAUAGGUUUCCCCUAAUUUCACUUUUCCUUCAGGUGCUGUUUAGAAUGGAUACAAUUUAUCAGGCAGAAUUGCUGCUGAUUAGGAUCAGUGAAACAGUGACUCCAUUAUUUGUUCUUAAUUCUUUAAUGUUUUUACAUCGACAAGGUUACUGGAGUAUAAUUGGCUUAAGCAUGUAAUACUCUAAAGGAUAAAAAUAUGGCCAAGGUGAAACAGGUGACAUUGUGGUAUUGACAUGGAGGAGAUAACUCAAAAGAUUAUUAUUUGUAACCUAUAUUCAGAAAAACUGUGAAGAGUAUAAAAUGGAAAUAGGAGUUCAAAAUGAAUAUAGCAUAGGAAUAUGUGACUAGAAAUUGCAAUUAUUUUUGGUGGGUGUUUUAAAAUGCUAUGUUCUUUUGGUUAUAUUACCGUUUUGAUUGUGAUCAUGUAUGUAAAUCCUAAUAACCAGUAACUUUCUCAAACUUAACAUCUGAAACCUCAUAAAAUCAACCUAAAGAUUUGCCUUAUUAGAGCAAUUUAUGAAAUUUAAUAAGGUCUUCCUGUGCCAAGAGUAUAUUAUUACUGUGUAAAGUAAAGGCUCACAAAGCUAAAUAAAUCUCUUCCUCAUAUUUCAUGUCUUCUAGAAUAUGCU